rnacentral:rRNA from 1 species
AGUGAACGCUGGCGGUAGGCCUAACACAUGCAAGUCGAACGGCAGCACAGUAAGAGCUUGCUCUUACGGGUGGCGAGUGGCGGCCGGGUGAGUUAUACAUCGGAAUCUACUUUUUCGUGUGGGUUCACGUAGGUAAACUUACGCUAUUACCUCUUCCUCCCUUCGGUUUAAAGCAGUGUUUCUUCGCCCCUUUCGCGUUUUUUUUAGCCUAUGUCGGAUUAGUUUGUUGGCGGGGUAAAGGCCCACCAAGGCGACGAUCCGUAGCUGGUCUGAGAGGAGGAUCAGCCACACUGGAACGGAGACACGGACCAGAGGCCUACGGGAGGGAGCAGAGGGGAAUAUUGGACAAUGGGCGAAAGCCUGAUCCAGCAAUACCGCGUGGGAGAAGAAGGACUUCGGGUUGUAAAGCACUUUUGUUGGGAAAGAAAAGCAGCAGGUUAAUAACACGCGGUACUGACGGUACCGAAAGAAUAAGCACCGGCUAACUUCGUG